GAUGAACGCUGGCGGCGCGCCUAACACAUGCAAGUCGAGCGAGAACCAGGGCUUCGGCCCUGGGGACAGCGGCGAACGGGUGAGUAACACGUGGAUAACCUGCCCUCGGCACCGGAAUAGCCCGGGGAAACCCGGAUUAAUGCCGGAUGGUCCCACAUCCCCGCGGGGAACGUGGGAAAAGGUAGCUUCGGCCUCUGGCCGAGGAUGGGUCCGCGGUGGAUUAGCUUGGUGGCGGGGUAACGGCCCACCAAGGCGACGAUCCAUAGCUGGUCUGGGAGGACGAUCGGCCACACGGGGACUGAGACACGGCCCAGACUCCUACGGGAGGCAGCAGUGGGGAAUCUUGCGCAAUGGGCGAAAGCCUGACGCAGCGACGCCGCGUGCGGGAAGAAGGCCUUCGGGUUGUAAACCGCUUUCAGGAGGGACGAAGCCACUCGGGUGAACAGCCCAGAGGGUGACGGUACCUCCAGAAGAAGCCCCGGCUAACUACGUGCCAGCCGCCGCAGUAAUAC
rnacentral:rRNA from 1 species